GCCCGCGUAGCUCAAAUGGUAGAGCAUUCCCAUGGUAAGGGAAAGGCCUCCGGUUCAAGUCCGGUCGCAGGCU
rnacentral:tRNA from 1 species